UACGGAGGGGGGCUAGCGUUGUUCGGAAUUACUGGGCGUAAAGCGCACGUAGGCGGCUUUGUAAGUUAGGGGUGAAAGCCCGGGGGCUCAACUCCGGAAUUGCCUUUAAGACUGCAUCGCUAGAAUUGUGGAGAGGUAAGUGGAAUUCCGAGUGUAGAGGUGAAAUUCGUUAGAUAUUCGGCAAGAACACCAGUGGCGAAAGGCGGACAUUCACUGGACCACAUA
rnacentral:rRNA from 1 species